GAUGAACGCUGGCGGCGUGCCUAAUACAUGCAAGUCGAGCGAACAGACGAGGAGCUUGCUCCUCUGACGUUAGCGGCGGACGGGUGAGUAACACGUGGAUAACCUACCUAUAAGACUGGGAUAACUUCGGGAAACCGGAGCUAAUACCGGAGAAUAUAUUGAACCGCAGGGUUCAAUAGUGAAAGACGGUGUUGGGGGCACUUAUAGAUGGAUCCGCGCCGCAUUAGCUAGUUGGUAAGGUAAAGGCUUACCAAGGCAACGAUGCGUAGCCGACCUGUGAGGGUGAUCGCCCACCCUGGAACGUAGCCACGGUCCAGACUCCUACGGGAGGCAGCAGUCGGGAAUCUUCCGCAAUGGGCGAAAGCCUUACGGAGCAACGCCGCGUGAGUGAUGACGGUCUUCGGAUCGUAAAACUCUGUUAUUAGGGAAGAACAAAUGUGUAAGUAACUAUGCACGUCUUGACGGUACCUAAUCAGAAAGCCACGGCUAACUACGUG
rnacentral:rRNA from 1 species